UUGCUUUGGCAGCACAUCUACUAAAAUUGAAAUGAUACAGAGAAGAUUAUUAGCAUGGCCCCUCCUCAAGGGUGACAGACAAAUUUGUGAAGCAUUCCGUAGUUCU